AGUUAAAGCGACAUGUCAAGCAAGAGGUGACCCACACUACUCGACAUUUGAUGGAACACGUUAUGACUUUAUGGGAAUAGGUGAAUAUGUUCUGGCUAAGGACAGUGUAAAUAACACAUUUGAAAUAAUACAAGUGAAUGAACCUUGUGGAAGUGGACAAGUUUCCUGCACAAAAUCACUAACAGUGAUUUUCCCAACUGUAACUAUCCAACUACUGCGGGGAAUUGUGAUGGUAAAUUACUUGGAAAUUGCUUUGCCUGCAUUCUAUGAAUGUAAGUUAUGUAGACUUCAUACUAGAUAUACUCGUUAAGAUUUGACGUUCAAGUUAUAAAUUUCAAGCUCAGUGCAUCUAGCCA